rnacentral:tRNA from 1 species
GGCGGUGUGGUGGAAUGGCAGACACGCUUGACUCAAAAUCAAGUGUCCUCUGGACGUGCAGGUUCAAGUCCUGUCACCGCUA